rnacentral:tRNA from 1 species
GGUGAGAUGGCCGAGUUGGUUAUGGCGCCAGGUUAAGGUUAUCUUAACACAAUUUCCUGGUGGGGCAACCCUCGUGGGUUCGAAUCCCACUCUCAUCA